rnacentral:rRNA from 1 species
AGAGUUUGAUCCUGGCUCAGGACGAACGCUGGCGGCGUGCUUAACACAUGCAAGUGGAGCGACGAACCGGGGCUUGCCCCGGGGCAGAGCCGCGAACGGGUGAGUAACACGUGGGUUACCUGCCUCAAUGACCGGGACAACCCGAGGAAACUCGGGCUAAUACCGGAUGUGCCCGCAAGGGGAAAGGAAGCUUCGGCCUCCGCAUUGAGAUGGGCCCGCGGCCCAUUAGCUUGUUGGUGAGGUAACGGCUCACCAAGGCUUCGAUGGGUAGCUGGUCUGAGAGGACAAUCAGCCACACUGGGACUGAGACACGGCCCAGACUCCUACGGGAGGCAGCAGUGGGGAAUCUUGCGCAAUGCGCGAAAGCGUGACGCAGCAACGCCGCGUGGGGGAAGAAGGCUUUCGGGUUGUAAA